rnacentral:rRNA from 1 species
ACUCCUACGGGAGGCAGCAGUGGGGAAUUUUGGACAAUGGGCGAAAGCCUGAUCCAGCAAUGCCGCGUGAGUGAAGAAGGCCUUCGGGUUGUAAAGCUUUUUUGUCAGGGAAGAAACGGUGAGAGCUAAUAUCUCUUGCUAAUGACGGUACCUGAAGAAUAAGCACCGGCUAACUACGUGCCAGCAGCCGCGGUAAUACGUAGGGUGCAAGCGUUAAUCGGAAUUACUGGGCGUAAAGCGUGCGCAGGCGGUUUUGUAAGUCUGAUGUGAAAUCCCCGGGCUCAACCUGGGAAUUGCAUUGGAGACUGCAAGGCUAGAAUCUGGCAGAGGGGGGUAGAAUUCCACGUGUAGCAGUGAAAUGCGUAGAUAUGUGGAGGAACACCGAUGGCGAAGGCAGCCCCCUGGGUCAAGAUUGACGCUCAUGCACGAAAGCGUGGGGAGCAAACAGGAUUAGAUACCCGAGUAGUCCCAUG